rnacentral:rRNA from 1 species
UACGGAGGGGGUUAGCGUUGUUCGGAAUUACUGGGCGUAAAGCGCACGUAGGCGGAUUAGUAAGUUAGAGGUGAAAUCCCAGGGCUCAACCCUGGAACUGCCUUUAAUACUGCUAGUCUUGAGUUCGAGAGAGGUAAGUGGAAUUCCGAGUGUAGAGGUGAAAUUCGUAGAUAUUCGGAGGAACACCAGUGGCGAAGGCGGCUUACUGGCUCGAUACUGACGCUGAGGUGCGAAAGUGU